CCCUUAGAUGUUCUGGGCCGCACGCGUGCUACACUGAACGGUUCAAUGGGUGAGGUAGUGCGAAAGCAUGACCCAAUCUCAAAAUCCGUUCGUGCUGGGGAUAGAAGCUUGCAAUUCUCCUUCUUGAACGAGGAAUACCUUGUAGCGCGAGUCAUCAUCUCGCGCUGAAUACGUCCCUGCCCUUUGUACACACCGCCCGUCGCUCCUACCGAUUGAGUGGUCCGGUGAGGCUUCGGGAGAGCUAAAUGGAUUGUGUUUCACAAACUAUUUGGCUUGAACUUAGUCAAACCUUACUACUUAGAGGAAGGAGAAGUCGUAACA
rnacentral:rRNA from 1 species